rnacentral:rRNA from 1 species
GAAACUCCUGCUAAUACCGCAUAGCCAUGAGCACCGCAUGGAGCUCAUGCCAAAUAUCCUUUAUGGGAUAGCGCAGGGAUGGACCUAUGGCGCAUUAGCUUGUUGGCGGGGCAACGGCCCACCAAGGCAACGAUGCGUAGCCGGCCUGAGAGGGCGGACGGCCACAUUGGGACUGAGACACGGCCCAGACUCCUACGGGAGGCAGCAGUAGGGAAUUUUCGGCAAUGGGGGAAACCCUGACCGAGCAACGCCGCGUGAGCGAAGAAGGCCUUCGGGUCGUAAAGCUCUGUUGUAAAGGAAGAACGGCGCAUACAGGAAAUGGUAUGCGAGUGACGGUACUUUACCAGAAAGCCACGGCUAACUACGUGCCAGCAGCCGCGGUAAUACGUAGGUGGCGAGCGUUAUCCGGAAUCAUUGGGCGUAAAGAGGGAGCAGGCGGCCGCAAGGGUCUGUGGUGAAAGACCGAAGCUAAACUUCGGUAAGCCAUGGAAACCGGGCGGCUAGAGUGCGGAAGAGGAUCGUGGAAUUCCAUGUGUAGCGGUGAAAUGCGUAGAUAUAUGGAGGAACACCAGUGGCGAAGGCGACGGUCUGGGCCGCAACUGACGCUCAUUCCCGAAAGCGUGGGGAGCAAAUAGGAUUAGAUACCCUAGUAGUCCACGCCGUAAACGAUGGUCACUAAGUGUCGGGGGUCAAACCCCGGUGCU